CCUACCUCGGCCGGAUUCGUCGGCCGGUUACGUCACAGCGCCGCGACUCGGCCUGUCCCAAUUCGAAGACUCCUUCAAAUGCGGUCGACGAAUGCGGCCUUCUUUUCGCCUGAAUGAAGGAUGGGUCGGGUGUAUCCUUCAAUAGGUAGCAUUUCCCAAGAUGCCUUGCGGGCCGGCCGGCAGAAAAACUUAAAAACAAUGGCGGACAGUGAAGCGGGAGCUGUCGGAGAGGAUUGCGCAUAUACAUGAACAAAAGAGAAAACCAGGGAAUUUAUUAAGCUUAGGACGGAGAUGGACCACAUGAUCACCGGAGCAAAGUAUUCGGCGGCUGUGGCAUGGAGACUAUUCUGGAGAAAAUGGGCACCCAGGGGAAGGUGCCAGCGAUGAGCUUCUGGAGCUGAUCUGGGAGGACAUGAGGCUGCAGAGGGAGGCAGAGCAGCAGGAGCCCAGGAGAGAAGGAAGAACUUUGACAGCUUUUUACUUUGCUAGAAAAAAAUGGUUAAGGAAGAUUAAACAUGUACAUGUAAAAGAAAUAUCUAAAUAAAAUCAGUUCUGCAUUAAACUCUUGAAUUUUAUUUUUGUUUACAAAUGAGAAUUGUUUACUAGAAGGUAUCCGCUGGGUCUUGAAAAGUCUUAAAAGGUGAUAAAUCGGUUUUGGUCAAAUUAAGACCCUUAGAAAGUAUUAAAAACUAUUAUCACAUCUUUGCUCAGGCUCAGCUAGUCUAAAGUAUUUUCUCUGAAUUAGCUCUCCAACAGUCAAGGAAAUGAUUAACCCCCAGAGACCCACGGUUGUAAUAUUACAACAUCAGAUUUAAGUCUACAAGAAUAAACCUUCCCCAUUUUUUUUUCUUUUUAAAACCACAUUUACAUUGCUAAUAGGUCCUAUUGUUCAGUUCUGCAACACUAUUGGCUGUUAAAAUGUGUAAAUAGGCCCGUUUAUCUGGCCUCCUAGAACAUGUGAAAGGUUAAAAAAAUAUUUUGCAGUUGUUUUCUAAAUUUGGGUUUC